rnacentral:rRNA from 1 species
UACGUAGGGUGCAAGCGUUGUCCGGAAUUAUUGGGCGUAAAGAGCUCGUAGGCGGUCUGUCGCGUCGGCUGUGAAAACCCGGAGCUCAACUCCGGGCCUGCAGUCGAUACGGGCAGACUAGAGUGUGGUAGGGGAGACUGGAAUUCCUGGUGUAGCGGUGAAAUGCGCAGAUAUCAGGAGGAACACCGGUGGCGAAGGCGGGUCUCUGGGCCAUAACUGACGCUGAGGAGCGAAAGCGUGGGGAGCGAACAGG